CGGCUUGGGGUCCACCUCCACGGGUGAAGUCCUUAGAUCGGCCGCCCGGAGUUCCCGGAAGAGGGUCGGUUGCUAGCUUCCUGUACUAUAGGGAGAAAUGGCGGUGGUCACCUUGAUCCCGACGCUGGCGCGGAAGCAAAACCAGCUCCAGAAAUAUUUGAAAAUGAAGUCAUGGAACUACUGAGAGAAUUCACCAAAAACAAAAACAAAGAGCAGAGACUGCGUGCCCCAGAUCUGGAAUAUCUCUUUGAAAAGCCUCGUUAAGCCGGGUGCCACUGCCUGUUGUGGUGGUCAUUAUAUGGAUAGAAACUGCUUCUGGUACUGACCUUGGCUUCCUGCUUCUCCUUAGACACUUGAACCUCUCCCAGGACAGACAUGUAAUGUGUAAGAUGACUCAUCUAACCUGUGCUUGUCUGUAAAACCCAAGUCAGACCCCUUACCUGGCUGAUAUGUGCUGUGCUGCAGGUCUGCCACAAGAGGGCACUGUAGGGAAGCGAGUCCACUGCCUCAGCGCCAACAAUGCAAAAGACACUGCUGCUGUAGGAAGAGCUGACCCCAUCCU
rnacentral:lncRNA from 1 species